AGAUGCGCUUCCGGCGGAGCCGAGGCCGGAAGCGGAAGAAGGGGACACAGACCUGCGUCCAAGCUGUGCCACCUGAGACGUGGGCGGUCCCAGUGACCGGGAGCCGGAGCUCGAACGGGACGGGCGAACAGAAGCGCGGAGGGCUUCGCAGCGUCGGCGUCUGUGCGUGGGCCAAACAUCAGGGCCUCGACCAGGGAUACAAGGGCAACCGCUAACUAGAUUCCUGAUUCCUGAUGGCUGGCGGCGGCUGACACCAAAGGUAAAAGGCCUUUUAGGGAAAGAAACCAUUUGUGAAAAGCUCUUGGGCUAAACUCGCUCUGCAAACUGGGGGCGCACGCUCGUGGCCAAACUCUGGCAGUGGGACUAUCCCGGAGCACCCGAUCCCUGGAAUCAUGUUCUGGAAACCACCGCGACGUGCGCAGUUCUCGGGCGUGGCCCUGGUAUCAUCCCACUGAAUCCUAGGAACGCGGUGCGUGCCCGUGGGAGAGCAAGAUCGCGAGGCACGAGCUGUGAGGGCACACCGCCUCUCUUGGUCCUCCGAAGCAAAGACACUGAUGCUCCCAGAAGCUGCGGAAGGACCUGGGUAUUUCUCCAGGCUGGAGAUGACUUCCAGCACCGCCACCAUGUUCCGGAUCUGUGGAAAUAAAAAGCCAUUUGUCAGGUCCCUGUCCUU
rnacentral:lncRNA from 1 species